rnacentral:rRNA from 1 species
AUGGAGCGGCAGCCUCGGCCGCAGCUGGCCGUGGCGGAGGAGGCCAUCGCGCUCUACGACACCUACUGGUACCGCCGCCUCGUGCUCAACGCCUACUCCCCUCCCGCGCCUCCCCCGCCGGCGCCUGAGCGCGAGCAGCCGGAGCAGGCGCCGGCGGAGGAGAGCAAGAGCCAGCUGCAGCGGGCUCCGUCCGGGCUGCAGCGGCACCGCCGGACGCGGAGCGACGAGGCCAAGGCCGCCGCGUUCCACGGCCAGCUGGAGCCGCUCAAGAUCCCCACCAGCCACCGCGCGAGGCUCGAGACCAUCCUGUCCGGAAAGGACGGCCUGGCCGCGCCGGAGCCGCUACCGGAGCGCCGGAGGCCGGAGGCGCGGCGGCCCGGCGGGAGGAGGCGGAGGAGCCGCCGCGGGCGGAGCCUGUCGGAGCUGGAGUUCGAGGAGGUGAAGGGCCUGCAGGACCUCGGCUUCACCUUCUCCGAGACCGAGGUCGACGCCGAGCUCGCGUCCAUCGUGCCGGGGCUCAGGCGGCUGCGCGCGGAGGAAGAAGCCAGAAGAGCCAAGGCGGCGGAGGCGGCAGCCUGCGCCGAGGAGGAAGCCUGUAGGAGCAGGGCCGCUGCGGAGGCCUCCGACGCGGCGCCGAGGAGGCCGUACUUGUCCGAGGCGUGGGAGGACGAGGAGGCGGAGGUGAGGCGGAUGCUGAGCAACUUCAGGAUCCCGGCCGCCGCCGACGGCGCUGACCUCAAGGAGAACCUCCGGCUCUGGGCGCACACCGUGGCCUCCGCCGUCCGGUGA